rnacentral:rRNA from 1 species
GAUGAACGCUGGCGGCGUGCCUAAUACAUGCAAGUCGAGCGAACAGACGAGGAGCUUGCUCCUCUGACGUUAGCGGCGGACGGGUGAGUAACACGUGGAUAACCUACCUAUAAGACUGGGAUAACUUCGGGAAACCGGAGCUAAUACCGGAUAAUAUAUUGAACCGCAUGGUUCAAUAGUGAAAGACGGUUUUGCUGUCACUUAUAGAUGGAUCCGCGCCGCAUUAGCUAGUUGGUAAGGUAACGGCUUACCAAGGCGACGAUGCGUAGCCGACCUGAGAGGGUGAUCGGCCACACUGGAACUGAGACACGGUCCAGACUUCUACGGGAGGCAGCAAUAGGGAAUCUUCCGCAAUGGGCGAAAGCCUGACGGAGCAACGCCGCGUGAGUGAUGAAGGUCUUCGGAUCGUAAAACUCUGUUAUUAGGGAAGAACAAAUGUGUAAGUAACUAUGCACGUCUUGACGGUACCUAAUCAGAAAGCCACGGCUAACUACGUG